AGUCGUUUGGCCGAAAAUAAGCAAAUGUUUUGAAAACAUUUUAUAGGGUUUAAACCCUAAUGACUU
rnacentral:tRNA from 1 species